AUGGGAACGCGAAGAACCUUACCUAGACUUGACAUCUCCUGAAUAGUGUAGAGAUACAUGAAGCCCUUCGGGGCAGGAAGACAGGUGGUGCAUGGUUGUCGUCAGCUCGUGUCGUGAGAUGUUGGGUUAAGUCCCGCAACGAGCGCAACCCUUAUUACUAGUUGCUACCAUUAAGUUGAGCACUCUAGUGAGACUGCCCGGGGUUUAACCGGGGAGGAAGGCGGGGUAUGACGUCAAAUCAUCAUGCCCCGUUAUGUCUAGGGCAACACACGUGCUACAAUGGUGAGUACAGAUAGAUGCGAUACCGCAAGGUGGAGCCAAACUCUAAAACCUCAUCCCAGUUCGGAUUGUAGGCUGCAACUCGCCUACAUGAAGUUGGAGUUGCUAGUAAUCGCGAAUCAGAAUGUCGCGG
rnacentral:rRNA from 1 species